CGAGGAGCUACUACAAAUGUACUCACCCUAAUUGUCAGGUUAAGAAGAAGGUCGAGCGCAACCUUGAAGGCCAUGUCACAGAGAUCAUCUACAAGGGUGGUCACUGUCACCCAAAACCUCCGCCGAACCGGCGUUCUGCUGUCUGCCACCCAUUCAAUGAUCCACAAUUUGAUGGUUCUGAACAUCCUGGAUCACAGACACUUUCUG
rnacentral:misc_RNA from 1 species